rnacentral:lncRNA from 1 species
GAAACUGCACCUCUUGCUUCCUGGCACAGGAGUCUGUCGAGGACACCUGGCUUCUUCCUGCUCAGCACAGAGGGAGAGGCAUGAGGGUCUGUGGGCUCAGCAGCAAGCAUCUGAAUCUCAUGGAGACGUUUCAGCAAGUGCACUGGGAAGACAUAUGCUCCAUGUUAUUUUUCUGGAGUUGGGAACAGAGCCAGAAAUCUUAACGUUCUGGAAAAGUCUUCCUUCGGCAGCACAGAUACUGGAAUUGGAGGGACACACGGAAGAUGGGGAUGACCCCUGUGCAAGGAGAAACUCAACUGUUCUGGAAAAGCAGAGCAUGAGCCUCCACCUCCCCUCUCUGUGAAGUGGGUCUCUAAGGGGUGUCCAUUUUGUGAUCUUUUAUUGAUGUCUAUAAUUUGUUUGUCUAUAUCUUUGGGAAAUUUUAUUUAGUGCACUGAAUUGCUGAGAUUGCUGUUGGUUUGCUGUAUUUAAAAAUACAAUAAAAG